rnacentral:rRNA from 1 species
ACACUCCUACGGGAGGCAGCAGUGGGGAAUAUUGGACAAUGGGCGCAAGCCUGAUCCAGCCAUGCCGCGUGAGUGAUGAAGGCCCUAGGGUUGUAAAGCUCUUUCACCGGUGAAGAUAAUGACGGUAACCGGAGAAGAAGCCCCGGCUAACUUCGUGCCAGCAGCCGCGGUAAUACGAAGGGGGCUAGCGUUGUUCGGAUUUACUGGGCGUAAAGCGUACGUAGGCGGACUAUUAAGUCAGGGGUGAAAUCCCGGGGCUCAACCCCGGAACUGCCUUUGAUACUGGUAGUCUUGAGUUCGAGAGAGGUGAGUGGAAUUCCGAGUGUAGAGGUGAAAUUCGUAGAUAUUCGGAGGAACACCAGUGGCGAAGGCGGCUCACUGGCUCGAUACUGACGCUGAGGUGCGAAAGCGUGGGGAGCAAACAGGAUUAGAAACCCUGGUAGUCCCAUGA